CCACCGAUAGCUCAGUUGGUAGAGCGGAAGACUGUAGAUCUUUAGGUCACUGGUUCAAAUCCGGUUCGGUGGA
rnacentral:tRNA from 1 species